rnacentral:rRNA from 1 species
UACGGAAGGGCGAGCGUUGUUCGGAAUUAUUGGGCGUAAAGGGCGUGUAGGCGGCUUCGCAGGUCUGUGGUGAAAGGAUACAGCUCAACUGUAUUGAGCCGCGGAACGGCGGAGCUUGAGGCUGGGAGGGCUGGUGGAAUUCCUGUGUGCGGUGAAAUGCGUAGAGAUGGGGAGAACACUCGUGGCGAAGGCGGCCAGCUAGACCAGUUCUGACGCUGAGACGCGAAAGCGUGGGGAGCAAACAGG